rnacentral:rRNA from 1 species
UGGGGGAUAUUGCACAAUGGGCGAAAGCCUGAUGCAGCGACGCCGCGUGGGGGAUGAAGGCCUUCGGGUUGUAAACUUCUUUUGCUCUGAACAAGGCAUGCUAAUGGGUGUGUUGAGUGUAGGGGUUGAUUAGCGCCGGUUAACUACGUGCCAGCAGCCGCGGUAAUACGUAGGGCGCGAGCGUUGUCCGGAAUUAUUGGGCGUAAAGGGCUUGUAGGUGGCUGGUUGCGUCUGUCGUGAAAGCUCAUGGCUUAACUGUGGGUUUGCGGUGGGUACGGGCUGGCUUGAGUGCAGUAGGGGAGGCUGGAAUUCCUGGUGUAGCGGUGGAAUGCGCAGAUAUCAGGAGGAAUACCGGUGGCGAAGGCGGGUCUCUGGGCUGUUACUGACACUGAGGAGCGAAAGCAUGGGGAGCGAACAGG